AUUGAACGCUGGCGGCAGGCCUAACACAUGCAAGUCGAACGAGUGGCGGACGGGUGAGUAAUGUCUGGGAAUCUGCCUGAUGGAGGGGGAUAACUACUGGAAACGGUAGCUAAUACCGCAUACCAUCGGAUGUACCCAGAUGGGAUUAGCUAGUAGGUGGGGUAACGGCUCACCUAGGCGACGAUCCCUAGCUGGUCUGAGAGGAUCACCAGCCAGACUGGAACUGAGACACGGUCAGGACUCCGACGGGAGGCAGGAGUGGGGAAUAUUGCACAAUGGGCGCAAGCCUGAUGCAGCAAUGCCGCGUGUAUGAAGAAGGCCUUCGGGUUGUAAAGUACUUUAAGCGGGGAGGCGUUACCCGCAGAAGAAGCACCGGCUAACUCCGGGCCAGCAGCCGCGGUAAUAC
rnacentral:rRNA from 1 species